rnacentral:rRNA from 1 species
GGUUAAGCGACUAAGCGUACACGGUGGAUGCCCCCGGCAGUCAGAGGCGAUGAAGGACGUGCUAAUCUGCGAAAAGCGUCGGUAAGGUGAUAUGAACCGUUACAGCCGGCGAUGUCCGAAUGGGGAAACCCAGUGCAAUUCGUUGCACUAUCGUUAACUGAAUACAUAGGUUAACGAGGCGAACCGGGGAACUGAAACAUCUAAGUACCCCGAGGAAAAGAAAUCAACCGAGAUUCCCCCAGUAGCGGCGAGCGAACGGGGAGCAGCCCAGAGUCUGAAUCAGCUUGUGUGUUAGUGGAACGGUCUGGAAAGUCCGACGGUACAGGGUGAUAGUCCCGUACACCAAAAUGCACAGGUUGUGAACUCGAAGAGUAGGGCGGGACACGUGGUAUCCUGUCUGAAUAUGGGGGACCAUCCUCCAAGGCUAAAUACUCCUGACUGACCGAUAGUGAACCAGUACCGUGAGGGAAAGGCGAAAAGAACCCCGGCGAGGGGAGUGAAAAAGAACCUGAAACCGUGUACGUACAAGCAGUGGGAGCACCUUCGGGUGUGACUGCGUACCUUUGUAUAAUGGGUCAGCGACUUAUAUUCUGUAGCAAGGUUAACCGUAUAGGGGAGCCGCAGGGAAACCGAGUCUUAACUGGGCGUUAAGUUGCAGGGUAUAGACCCGAAACCCGGUGAUCUAGCCAUGGGCAGGUUGAAGGUUGGGUAACACUAACUGGAGGACCGAACCGACUAAUGUUGAAAAAUUAGCGGAUGACUUGUGGCUGGGGUGAAAGGCCAAUCAAACCGGGAGAUAGCUGGUUCUCCCCGAAAGCUAUUUAGGUAGCGCCUCGUGAACUCAUCUUCGGGGUAGAGCACUGUUUCGGCUAGGGGGUCAUCCCGACUUACCAACCCGAUGCAAACUACGAAUACCGAAGAAUGUUAUCACGGGAGACACACGGCGGGUGCUAACGUCCGUCGUGAAGAGGGAAACAACCCAGACCGCCAGCUAAGGUCCCAAAGUCAUGGUUAAGUGGGAAACGAUGUGGGAAGGCACAGACAGCCGGGGAUGUUGGCUUAGAAGCAGCCAUCAUUUAAAGAAAGCGUAAUAGCUCACUGGUCGAGUCGGCCUGCGCGGAAGAUGUAACGGGGCUAAACCAUGCACCGAAGCUGCGGCAGCGACACUAUGUGUUGUUGGGUAGGGGAGCGUUCUGUAAGCCUGCGAAGGUGUGCUGUGAGGCAUGCUGGAGGUAUCAGAAGUGCGAAUGCUGACAUAAGUAACGAUAAAGCGGGUGAAAAGCCCGCUCGCCGGAAGACCAAGGGUUCCUGUCCAACGUUAAUCGGGGCAGGGUGAGUCGACCCUAAGGCGAGGCCGAAAGGCGUAGUCGAUGGGAAACAGGUUAAUAUUCCUGUACUUGGUGUUACUGCGAAGGGGGGGACGGAGAAGGCUAUGUUAGCCGGGCGACGGUUGUCCCGGUUUAAGCAUGUAGGCUGAUUGUCCGAGGCAAAUCCGGAUAAUCAAGGCUGAGGUGUGAUGACGAGGCACUACGGUGCUGAAGUAACAAAUGCCCUGCUUCCGAGGAAAAGCCUCUAAGCAUCAGGUAACAUUAAAUCGUACCCCAAACCGACACAGGUGGUCAGGUAGAGAAUACCAAGGCGCUUGAGAGAACUCGGGUGAAGGAACUAGGCAAAAUGGUGCCGUAACUUCGGGAGAAGGCACGCUGGUGUGUAGGUGAAGUCCCUGCGGAUGGAGCUGAGACCAGUCGAAGAUACCAGCUGGCUGCAACUGUUUAUUAAAAACACAGCACUGUGCAAACACGAAAGUGGACGUAUACGGUGUGACGCCUGCCCGGUGCCGGAAGGUUAAUUGAUGGGGUUAUCCGUAAGGAGAAGCUCUUGAUCGAAGCCCCGGUAAACGGCGGCCGUAACUAUAACGGUCCUAAGGUAGCGAAAUUCCUUGUCGGGUAAGUUCCGACCUGCACGAAUGGCGUAAUGAUGGCCGGGGCUGUCUCCACCCGAGACUCAGUGAAAUUGAACUCGCUGUGAAGAUGCAGUGUACCCGCGGCAAGACGGAAAGACCCCGUGAACCUUUACUAUAGCUUGACACUGAACAUUGAGCCUUGAUGUGUAGGAUAGGUGGGAGGCUUUGAAGCGUGGACGCCAGUCUGCGUGGAGCCAACCUUGAAAUACCACCCUUUAAUGUUUGAUGUUCUAACGUUGGCCCCUGACCGGGGUUGCGGACAGUGUCUGGUGGGUAGUUUGACUGGGGCGGUCUCCUCCCAAAGCGUAACGGAGGAGCACGAAGGUUAGCUAAUCCCCGGUCGGACAUCAGGAGGUUAGUGCAAUGGCAUAAGCUAGCUUGACUGCGAGCGUGACGGCGCGAGCAGGUGCGAAAGCAGGUCAUAGUGAUCCGGUGGUUCUGAAUGGAAGGGCCAUCGCUCAACGGAUAAAAGGUACUCCGGGGAUAACAGGCUGAUACCGCCCAAGAGUUCAUAUCGACGGCGGUGUUUGGCACCUCGAUGUCGGCUCAUCACAUCCCCGGGGCUGAAGUAGGUCCCAAGGGUAUGGCUGUUCGCCAUUUAAAGUGGUACGCGAGCUGGGUUUAGAACGUCGUGAGACAGUUCGGUCCCUAUCUGCCGUGGGCGCUGGAGAAUUGAGGGGGCUGCUCCUAGUACGAGAGGACCGGAGUGGACGCAUCACUGGUGUUCGGGUUGUCAUGCCAAUGGCACUGCCCGGUAGCUAAAUGCGGAAGAGAUAAGUGCUGAAAGCAUCUAAGCACGAAACUUGCCCCGAGAUGAGUUCUCCCUGAGACUUUAAGUCUCCUGAAGGAACGUUAAAGACGAUGACGUUGAUAGGCCGGGUGUGUAAGCGCAGCGAUGCGUUGAGCUAACCGGUACUAAUGAACCGUGAGGCUUAACCUU